rnacentral:lncRNA from 1 species
CAAUACUCAAUCAAAUUAAGUUAAUUAGUAAUAUAAUCUCUAAUCAAUCUUUUUAUAAUUUAUUAAUAAUUAAUAAAUUAAUUUAUUACAACUUUUACAUAAGGUUAAUCAUCAAUCGAAUUGAUGAUUAAAUACUAGAAUGGUUCUCAAUCGUUGAUUAGCCACAUGAUCAGUCGAAAAUUUUUUUUGAGUGUAACCUUAUUGGUUUGAGCCUAAGUCAAUAAUAUAGAAAUAGACUUUUUUAACCAAUCAAAGUGACCAUCUAGCAAUGGUAUUUGAUAUCCGGAU